rnacentral:pre_miRNA from 1 species
UCCUGAUCCCUGAGACCCUAACUUGUGAGCUCUGAACAUCACGGGUUGGGCUCUUGGGACCCGGG